UGGCGCUUCGGUUGAACAUCAGAUCUCUGGACUAAAAACUUGUGAGCCGGAGUAGACUAAAAAUUCUACCACAUUAAGCAGGAUUACUAGGACCUUACAGUGGCAGUUGGUUCGAUUGAGUACUCGGAGUCCAAACCGGCAGCAACGGAAAUAUUCAGAUGCUGUUAUUCAAGCCUUCCAUCAGAAUGGAUGAUUCAGAAAUAGUUGCCAUGAUAAAAGAAUUGUUGGAGACUCGCAUUCGGCCAGCUGUUCAAGAUGAUGGUGGUGACAUUGAAUACCG